UUUGCUUCUCGGCCUUUUGGCUAAGAUCAAGUGUAGCAUUCGUUCUUAUCAGUUUAAUACAUUCCAUACUCCCUAGCACCUGCCUUUCUGCCCCAAACAUCCCUCUUUCCCUUCCCCUCCCCUACCAGUUUGGGUUGAGUUUCUGUCAUUUGCACCAAAAAAGAAUCCUAAUACAUCCUCUUUGGAACUCAACUCAU